GCCUCGUUAGCUCACUUGGUAGAGCGUUAGACUUNUAACGGUCAGGGGUUCGAGUCCCCUACGGGGCU
rnacentral:tRNA from 1 species